rnacentral:rRNA from 1 species
AACGAACGCCGGCGGCAUGCCUAACACAUGCAAGUCGAACGAGACCUUCGGGUCUAGUGGCGCACGGGUGCGUAACGCGUGGGAAUCUGCCCUUGGGUUCGGAAUAACAGCGAGAAAUUGCUGCUAAUACCGGAUGAUGACGUAAGCCCAAAGAUUUAUCGCCCAAGGAUGAGCCCGCGUAGGAUUAGCUAGUUGGUGAGGUAAAGGCUCACCAAGGCGACGAUCCUUAGCUGGUCUGAGAGGAUGAUCAGCCACACUGGGACUGAGACACGGCCCAGACUCCUACGGGAGGCAGCAGUGGGGAAUAUUGGACAAUGGGCGAAAGCCUGAUCCAGCAAUGCCGCGUGAGUGAUGAAGGCCUUAGGGUUGUAAAGCUCUUUUACCCGGGAUGAUAAUGACAGUACCGGGAGAAUAAGCUCCGGCUAACUCCGUGCCAGCAGCCGCGGUAAU